rnacentral:rRNA from 1 species
CUUCUUGAAUUUAUUUGAAGUUGUACCUGCCCACUGAAUAUUUGAAGGGCCGCGGUAUUUUGACCGUGCAAAGGUAGCAUAAUCAUUAGUCUUUUAAUUGUAGGCUGGAAUGAAUGGUUUGACGAAACAAUAACUGUCUCGAAAUUAUGAAUUGAAUUUUACUUUUAAGUUAAAAGGCUUAAAUGAUGAUGGGGGACGAGAAGACCCUAUAGAUCUUUAUAGUAAAUUUUUGAUUUUUCGUUUGGUUAUUUUGAGUUAAAUAUAUGAAUUUACUAUUUCGUUGGGGUGACGAAAGAAUAAAAUAACUUCUUUAAUGUUUACUAUGAUGAUUGGUUAAAAUAUCCUUUAAUAUGGAAUUAAGAUUAAGAUACCUUAGGGAUAACAGCGUAAUUUUGUUGGAGAGUUCUUAUCGAUAAUGAAGAUUGCGACCUCGAUGUUGGAUUAAGAAAAUGACUGGAUGAAGAAGUCUAGUAUGAUUGGUCUGUUC